CUGAACUUUAGACUGAACUUUGAAAGUAUGUUUGUGAUUUUUCUCCUGAUUCUUAUGGUGUUGUCGAAUUAGAAAAGAAUUGUUUCAACAUCAUUACAGAAAGAACAAACUUUCUCUCUCUUUACCUGCACACUGACAGCUGAGAUGCAGCUACGUUAACCUUUCCUCCCUCUCCCUUUCUCCCUCUACCGAGGAUACCAGCUUGUAUCAAUGUAUGGAAUCAUCAAACAAAAGUGGGCUUCACAUCACAUCAGGUAUUAACAGAAUGAUUCCUCUCCGAAGCAUGGUCCAUAUUCAUGAGGAUAUUCCAAAGACUUUACAGCUGAAGCUAUCGCUAAACUUCUUCUGAAAAUGCCGUCUCAGUCGGUGAGUAGCCCGACAAAGUCUCCUCCGUCUCCACAUGGCGAAUUUUGACACAACCCAAAUGAGGUCCUUUGACAUUUGAAAUGGAUGUGUGACGAGAGGGACACAAACAACCACCAAAUAAACACAUUAAUAAAUAAUCUGUUUGCCUUUUCAG
ensembl:lncRNA